UUUCAGACUAUAAGCUAUAUGGCAGAGCGUGUUGUAGGACAUGGAUCAUUUGGAGUUGUCUUCCAGUUGUUUUCUAGGUCAAUGAAAUGAGAGAUAGACCUUCAUGCAAAGUUUCUCAAUGUUGAGAAUGUACUUGGCUUACACGAGGCUCUUCGGAGAUAAAUAGUAGCUUUGAUGAAUGUAGAAGGAAUCAAUAUGGAACUUGUUGCAAGCCAUCUCCAC